UUCAUGCCUGAUGACAACCUUCCUUCCUGCUCAGGAUCCUGUCUCCGACCCCCGGUAGACACCCAGUCCUUCCGGAGUCCGCAGGUGCGUGGGGCGGUCCAACUCCAGCGAUGUCAACAAGCCAAGGGGAGUGCUUGCAAUCGGCCUCGCGAGGCAGGCGUGGAGAGCCACAUCCAGCCAGAUUAUCACAGGCUAAAUAGACCCAUCCAGCUGGCCCCAGGAAAGAAUGCACACAGCAACCUUUGCUGGCUGACGGUUCAUCAGUUUACCCUCCAGAAACUGUUGAAGCGCAGACUCCACAGGCUCUUCUCUCCUCGCUGUAAACCCUGCUCAGGCCUUUGUCCCUGGGCUUGGACUCCAUGUGGUGGCUGACUCCCUCCCUGUGUCGUGAUGUGUUACGUGCCCUUGUUACAAGGACGACAUUUCAGCUCCCUAAGCUGACUCCAGGGUCGCAUCAGGAUGCCAAGACUUAAAUGCACGGUCCUUUGUCACUGUUUCAGACUCAGCCAAGCAGAUGGAGGGAC